rnacentral:misc_RNA from 1 species
GGAAGCUAUUCAAUAUCAGAUUAUCAAAACCUAAAAUAAUUAGGUACAUAGAAAAGCAUCCACAUGACAUGAAAUGCUAAAAGGAUGGUGCAAGAGAAACAAAAAGUCGCUUAAGAAAUAUAUCAGAAAGAAAAAGUAAAAAAACAUUUCCUUUGGAUAGCAGAAAAAGCCCCAAUGGUUGUAUAUUGACACUUGACUAAUGAUCAAUUACGAAUGCAUGUCAAAUAGAUGAAAGAGAUUGAAGCACAGCACUAGUCCUUCUCCUUUACCCCAUAUCAAACAGAAAGUCCAACUCCGAACACAAACCAAUAAACAAGUCGAAGGACAACUUGAUAUUCCCAGACACUCAUCCUCACAUAUUCCCUGUGAUCUUUAAUUCUAUGGUUCUAAUCAUUUUGUG